CAAUCAGAAGUUCGUAUCACAAGAGCAACCAAUUGUAAUAUCACAGGAUUGAAAUGGAAUUUGCAAAAUGUAACAAUUUCUUACGUUUAUCCUCGAUCUUAUAUAAAUGCAAUUUUGAACGUGACCGAAGAAGUUAAAAGGAUUAAAAAAGUUUUUGUUCAUCUGGAUCGAUGCAAUGAUCAAGGAUUUAAUUGCGAAGAUUUCCAAAAUUGGUAUUUUGAUAAUUUUUGCACAUUGCUGAAUUGGCGAAAUCAAGUAUGGUCGGGGUUCACUGAUUCUCUCUAUCCCCAAUUUCGGUGUCCAAUUAAGAAAAUGGUAUACCAAGGUCGGAAUGCAACUUACGAUUUCAGCGCUGCUUCAAGAUGGUACCCUGAAUUUAUCAAUUAUCAGUGGAACACAGUCGCUAAAUUUAUAAACGAGCGAGAUGAACUAGUAUUUUGCGCAGAGUUCACCACUCACGUGUAUCAGUACAGGAAAAG